CCUACGGGAGGCAGCAGUGAGGAAUAUUGGUCAAUGGACGAGAGUCUGAACCAGCCAAGUAGCGUGAAGGAUGACUGCCCUAUGGGUUGUAAACUUCUUUUAUAUGGGAAUAAAAUGUUCCACGUGUGGGAUUUUGUAUGUACCAUAUGAAUAAGGAUCGGCUAACUCCGUGCCAGCAGCCGCGGUAAUACGGAGGAUCCGAGCGUUAUCCGGAUUUAUUGGGGUUAAAGGGAUCGUAGGUGGAUUGUUAAGUCAGUUGUGAAAGUUUGCGGCUCAACCGUAAAAUUGCAGUUGAAACUGGCAGUCUUGAGUACAGUAGAGGUGGGCGGAAUUCGUGGUGUAGCGGUGAAAUGCUUAGAUAUCACGAAGAACUCCGAUUGCGAAGGCAGUUCACUGGACUGCAACUGACACUGAGGCUCGAAAGUGUGGGUAUCAAACAGGAUUAGAUACCCGAGUAGUC
rnacentral:rRNA from 1 species